rnacentral:lncRNA from 1 species
CUUGCCCUUCUGGCUCAUUUUCCUCCUCUUGGCGGCCUCCUCCUGGUCCUCCUCCCUCAUCUGCUUAUUGGUGGCCCUAGUCACAUCCAGCUGAGGCUUCUUGCUGUUCAUGACACGAAGCAGCUCCAACUGGUUCUUUUUCUCGGCUGCAAAGUCCCCGAAAAGGGGUUGAAACUUCCUUUUCUUGCCGGAGCCCCGGGGCACCUUCUCCUUGGGGAGGCGCUCCUGAAAGCGCCCCACAGAGGCGGUGGAGACCUUGGCCACUUGCAUGGCGCGGCCCAGCUCCUCCUUACUCUGGUGUCCGGUAGGGUGCAAGCCGGCCGCGCUGGGCAGCUGCAUCUUGUGCGCGCGGGCCAGGUUACGCAGCCGGUUCAGCUCGUUCUUGGCCACCCUUUCCUUCUUGGCCUGAAUCCGCUUGGCGAACUGGUCCUCCAAGGGGUCGGCAUUGCCGGGCACCUCAAUCAGCCAUUCUUUGGUGUCGUCCCGGGCGCGCUGGUAGCCCCAGCGCCGCCGCCACUGGCCACUCACCUCGUCCCACACCAGAGACAGAAACUGAAAACCAUGGUUUCAGGCUGCUAAAAACCUAACAUGAAACAAAACAGAAGAACAACAACAACAAAAUAAGGAAGAGUGACCUAUGGGAUCCAUGGAGGAGCUGCUUCCUGAAUCUGUGUAAAGUAGAUCUUGCCGUGUGGGUAACUGUGACUGCGGUGGCCAUGAAGAGGCACAACUCAGACCUCGGAUCUCCUGCUGCAGAGAACAUUGACUGACAGCCCAGCAGCUCCUGUCUGGAUCUACCACCUGUUCACAAUUCUGAAAUACAUUCAACGCACACUUUCCUACUGAGAUUUCUAAAAUGGGACUUGGAAAACAGAAAAAUACUAAAGUGGGGUACUAUCAUCUAAAUCUCCAAAAAGGUCAUUCAACUCUGAUCCCUGUUUAAAGAGAGAAAAAAGGAAUAAAGGAGCCUUUGAAGGCAGAAUAUUGCUCACUCAUCUCUUUGAAAGGACCUCAGACUGCAGAGCAGAAGAACCACUGGCUACAUCAGCUGGGGCAGAGGGGGAUGAAGAGAACAUCAUGAUGCCUGCAAAAAAGUGGGCUCUGCAGGAUCUCCAGUCACCUCCCUUCCCUUCAGAUCCAGAGCUCUCUCUGGCUAGGACCUUCCAGAGUUCCAGAAUUUUUGUUCCACCUUCCAUUGCUCACUUCUAUUACUAUUACUAAGAUAUUCACAUGGAAUUCUGUGCAAACCAUUUUUUUUUUCUUUUGGUGCCCUCUUUGUUUUACUUCCUCUAUUGGGACUAAUGGCCAUCUGACUUGGGGGUCCUUUGUUUUUUGUGACAAACCACCCUCAGCAGAUUUCCUUGAGGUCCAUUUGCUCAAGGGCCUUAAAGCUUUUUGGAGUAAUACAGAGUAAGUUUCUAGACAGCCUCUUGUGCUCUGCAGUAAGCUAAAGUGGAAGAUUAAGAUGCCUGGUGUAUACUGUGUGUUUCCCAUGUAAUGGCAGAAAAGGAAUGGGGCUCAUUAGUUACUUUAAGGUGGCAGCAGCUACCUUAGAGAAGACUGCAUUGCUUGUACUGAUUCAAAAGAGCACCUAAUGAAGGGAAAAAGCAGAAAUAAGCCAAGACUUGAGCUGAGUGAUUCGUUGAAUCAGCCAAGGAUAAUGUUCUUCAGGCACUAUGCACAUGUCACUGAUCAGUAGCGCUUCUCUUAAGCUUCAACAGCACUCACUUCCCCUGUCUUGAUGAGGGAGCAGCAUUUUCACUGGAUGCAAACUGUGAGGCACUGUCUGGGCAAGCAGAUUGGUUACUAAUGAGGAAACUGGCACUGACAGCCUUUUGGGUUCUGAUUGAAGAAAAGAGAUGUCUUCGCAUCAGAAUGGUUUAACUUUCAAUGUGGCAUAUCAACUGGUUGAAAUUAGGGAGAGAGAGAAAGAGAAAUUUAAUUGUCAGGCUGUGGUGCGUAGUGUCAAAGCUACCUAGAUUAUGAGAAAUACGUCUUUUCAACAGCUUAAAGGCCACAGCUCUCAACAUUUUUUCUGCAUGUACAACACAGACAGGAUCCAGAAAUCCCAGCCUAUAACUCUUGGUUCCGUCAAAUACUCAACAGAGAAAACAGAAGUAUUUGAUUGUGGUAUUAACUAUGAAAUGUUCCCUAUUAGCCAUAUGAUUCUAUUAGCUCAGCUCAUUCCUGUUAGAUUUAUAGAAACAUUAGAGAUAAUUGGAAUUAGAAGGGCCAAGAGAGACGAUCCAAUCCCAUAUAGAGAAAAGCAAGACCCCUGCUCUCACUGAAGAAGUUUUAAAAAUAAUUAAACAACAAACAAACAAAUUGAGGCCCAGAGAGAUGAAGUAAUUUGACUGAUGUAUUCCAUCAGUGACAGACCUGGGACUGGAGCUCCAUCUCAGCUCUCAGCCCACUAAGAACCCUGUUCAUGGUGCCAUACUAGCAACCCCCUUCCUGUAGGAGUCUUUGAGAGUCAGAAUGACUUCUUGACUGAGAGGUACAUGUCUCUAGGAUAAGGACAAUUGAGGGGAUAAUGAGGAAAGAAAUAAUGUAAGUUAACUAUAUUUUGCCACAUGCCCUCCUCUCUCCAUGAAUCCAGGAUGUUGACCCAUAUCCAGCAUCCAUUGUGGGACUAAGUCUCGGACACCAAGGACUUCUAAGGAGCCUGCUCCAAUCUGAAAUGACUGUGGGGGAGCUGGCCAUUCCCCGAGCCAUUCUUGGAAUAUUGGGCCACAGGGGCCACUGGGGAGCAUGUAUAGGUAGGGGCGGCUUUGAUAUAAGCCUAGGUAUUCAAUUCUUCAUGGGACCCCCAAUGCUACCCCAAGUCUGCACCUUGAUUCCCAAAUACCCAAGAGAGACAAAAUGUCCUACUUUCUCUCUGAAGUUCUUCUAAUGUUGGAAGACCUAGGGUGGAGGCAAACCUUUCAGAGAAUUUCUGCUGGGAUUUAAAUGUAUGUCUAGCUGGCUUUAGACAUUAGAAGACUGUAAUAUGUACCUUAAUAAGUUGCCUUUCCCAUGGUGUUUGUUAUCCUCAGAAGACCCCCAUAGUGACUCUAGGAGACAAUUCUCAUAUCUUCUGAACUGUGCAUGUUCAUAGUUUUUCUGAGCAGGGUUUGCAUCUAGCAGCGAUGGAGGUAUAGGAGGUCACAGGCAACACUGCGUGCCUCACACAACAUUGUAGAUCAAGACACAGUUAAAUGGGCUGGCAAUUCUGAGUUUCUGAGUCCAGUCCCAUGACUAGUAUAGCUGUCAGAACUAGAGGGGCCAACCCUGGGAAUCUUGGAGAUGCUUUAUGAAUAUAUGAGAUUUCAGGCAUCCAAGCUCUUCUAUUUGUUUACAUGUAUUCUCAAUGUCUAUCUCCCAUUAUCAAAUCUAUUCCAAAAGUAUUUUUUCAACACUUGCUGGAGACUCUUGGAUAAAGCUAGUAAACGUGCUUUUAUUAAGCUCCAACUCUGUGCUGACCACUUAUACAUAUAUUGUCUCAGUUGCACUCAAAAUGCUAUUGUGUGUUAGGGUUCUUUCUUACAGAUUUUGAAACAGUGUCUUGGAGAGGUUAGGUGAAUUGCUCAAAAGACGCAGCAAGCACAGAGCUGUGACUUGGUCCUGUCUUAUCUGCUUUGGGGUUAUGGGUAGUUUAUCUUUAUAUGCCUAUUUUAACAGUAGACCCUCAACCACUGAAAUUGACAGGAAAAAGUAUGUGGUUGUUUUACCAAACAAACAAACAGACAAAAAACCAAACCCACCAAACCUGAAAUUUUUGGUUUGGUCAACAUUUUAAUUCAACUGUACUCAAUGUAUUAACAAUGGUGAUUUGAUAUGAUGGAUGUAAUUGAUAAUCAAUGCAGUGCCAUUUAUAGACUGCCUAAAAGUGCAUUGUACAUCAUUUUGACAACAUAUUUACCUGCAUUGUUUGGGCAAAAUGAAUUUUAAAAUUAUUUUUUGUUUCCUAAAUUUGUAUCAAUUGAAAAAAAAAAAGUCAUCUGGGUAGCAGACAGAAGUCAGCCUGGGACUACAGUGGGUCAUAACCCUGAGGAUUCAAAUGUGGGCAAUGGCAACAACAUCAGCGACUAAAGCUGUCAGUGGAGAAAAGAAGAAAGCACACGCCAGCCACCCUGCAGAACAAUGCAGUUCUUUCAGAGUCACAUAGUCCUAAAUCUGGAAACCAUCACAGCUGAGAGGAUAAGCUUUGGAACCCGAUAGUGGUCUAAAACUAGGCUCUGCCUGCCAUGGACAAACUACAAGAGACUGGGAAGUGAGUUAAACCUGAGCUAAAUCCCAGUUUCCUUCUCUGCAAAACAGGGAGUGGGGACAGUGGAAUAACACCUCCCUCAUAGAACUGUUGGGAGGCAUAAAUGACCCUCAGCACAGGGUGGUGUGUAUGGAAUGUGCAUCAUAAGUGGCAGCUAUUUUGAUAAUUACUAAACAUGAUGAAUGAUGAUAAGCGAAAUAAUAACACAGCUUUUCAACAUUUUCACUCAAUAAGUUAAAUUUAUAAUAGGCAAGCAAAGGAGUUUCCAGAAUUAAGCAUCUGAUGGGAGCUUAGACAGGUUGACUUUUACAGCUCAUUCUAACCCUGAGUGAGGGUCUGUGAUUUUAUAAGCCCUUUUAGGGUUCGAGUGCUACUUCUAAUCAAGAUCCUGGUAUCAUGUUUUUCUCCAUUACGUGGAACAAUAAUGAAUAGAUAAAUAAAAUAUAACUGGGAAAGGAGAACACAGAUUGAACACAUGCAUUUAUCUCCACUCUUGUCCAAAACCUCACAGUAAAAUAAUUUAAAAUACAUGAACCUAUAAGAACAAGAGAGGGGAGAUAUGAUGAAAGAGAAAACCAAAAUUUUGGAAGUUGGAAAAAAAUGGAAGGCUGGUUAGCCAAUUAGGGACAGUAGAAAGCUGCAUAUCUGUAAGGCACAUGCUGCCAAGAGAGAAAAGCAAGGCAAUUUGGAUGUGGAACCUCAGACAGGCUUAGAAUAGGAAACAGAUCCAUGAGUCAUGACACUGUGGUUGAGAUUUCUGCUUUAGCCAUUCCAGCGUAUGCUUGUUUUUCCCUAAAAGUCUUUACUCAUUUGUUUUCUCUCUUCCGCCCAGUGAACAUCUACUCAUUCUUCAAAACCCAGAACUGUUGUUGUUUCUUGAAAAAUGGAGAUUAUUCCAAAGUUCUUUUAGCCUUUGCAAUGUGAAGGCAUGUGUCAGGGUUGGGAGGAGUUGGGGAACAGCACCUCUUUCUUUUAACGUCCAAUUGAUUGAGGCCAAUGGGUCAUCCUGCCUCCUUCCCUAAAUAUUCCUGAGAAUGCUCAGAGAGGGCCCACAUGUUCCCUAAGUCCAUUCUGGUUACCCUGUGUGCCUUCUUGCUCUGGUCUGCUGCUCCCAGCUUCUUCACGAUCACUUGUGAUCAUUUGCUAGCCUUUUUUUAGUCCAUUUUACUCCAAAGCAAGAAUACAGUACUUGCUCCUUACUCUCCAAUGCUUACCAAUGCAACAACAAGAGGUAAUAGUAUUUAACAAAUUUUGAUACGGAGGAAAGGAAAACCUAAAAUAAGGUACCAUGUAUCACUAUUCCUGAAUUCUGUCAUCAUGUCCCUUUAAAGGCAGUGCUCUAUAGGUUCCGUCUCUCCUGUGGCCCCAGCCUGCUGCCACUGGAACAAGGGUCCAGGGUUCUUAAUGCACGGAAGUCUUCAUCUUAUCCCCCACAAAUCUACAGCCAAAAGAAGGAAAUACCCAUUGAUGACACGAUAGACAAUAUAACAGUUGACAAGAUAAUUGAUACAGCGUGCCCAAUGUGAAGAGAGAAUUUGUCACGGCUAGAGUAGUGAACCUUCUCCAGGUGAACCAUCUGCCGUUGGAAGCUUCCUUUUGUCCAGGGCUCCUGCAAGGCCAGUGAGUAGGUACUUCUAUCUACACAUGACUGAAAAAGACUUACCAAAACCAAUAUAUUCCCAAGGAUACUUUCUAAAUUCUACCCAAGGAGCAGAUGCUGCUCACAAUUCUCUAAAACAAGGUCUUUUUUUUUUCAACCCCAGAUAUAUCAAGAAUGGGACACAAUCUCCGAGGAAGAAAUUGUCAGCAUCUAUCUUGAAAAUAUCUUUGGUUUCCCAUUACAUUUCGGAUUUCUCUAGACCAUAUUUGUAGUUCCCUUUUUGGUGUUCCCAUUCUUGUAAGUUUAUAUAAACAGCAAUAAGACUAUAGCUCUUCUCACAGGAUACUUUGUUAUUUCUUAAUGGGACUGUCUGUCCUGUAGGCUAUGAGCUAUUUGAGGGCAAAGAAUAUUCUAUUCAUCUUUAUAUUCCUGGCACAUGGUAGGCACUCAGUAAUGCUGCUGCUGAAUUGAAUCGGCUGUGGGAAAAAAACAAAUGCUUCUCCUCAGUCAGCAUUUGUUUUCUAGGAUCUAUUCCAAUAUAUUUCCAACAAAAAUAUGAGAUUUAAAAGAUAGGCAGAGAGUGAAUUGAACUGAAUAUUGCACAAAAACUCCUUGUCUUUAAAGGUGGAAACAAAAUCCACCACCUUCCCAAGAUAGCUGUUCUGUCUCACAUCUUCUUGAAGCAAUGAAAUGAUGAGUACUGUGAUCAGAGAGGACCCUCAGAAAAUAAAUAAAAACCCAGCUCUACAAAUGCAGCCGUAAGCCAGGAGGAUAUGACGAAGGAUAUCAUUAUCAUCCUGAUAUUUUUAGAAGUUCUUUGGUGACAGGUCAGAUUUUUGAGAAUCAGAAAAUGAUAAAAAUAAUCUUGUUAUUCCACAAAGGAGGCUCUAUAUAUAUCAGGCCGAUUUUGAACACUGCCUGAGAAUGUUGAGAAAAUAUUUUUAAAUGUUAGUGAAAUGAUAGGCUUUGGGGGCAGACCCAGCCUCGCUUUAGAAAAAGCUUUAUCGUGGGGGGAUUGAGAGAUUUUAGUGAUGUGAGCAUUGUAAAGAAUCAGCAGUGAGUGGGUGUAAGUUUUUGUUUUCCAAUUUUCCAGAGGAGGGUCCACCUGGGAAGAAUUUCAUGAAAUUUACAGAAAUCUGAAAAUUGCUUUUGAAGCUAUUACAGGUACCUGGGGAGUCCUCCUUGGCCCCACAGGCUGACUACACUAUCCAGAUCUUAAGGGACUCUCAUCUUUCCUAACUUCUAGGUUGCAGGAUUCUGCAGAAUUACUUCUGCAGCUUCCAUUUGUAGCUAUUGCUAAGUGGACCCAUAGCUAUAUGGGAUGUGGGGCUCUGGAUUUCAGGUAGAAAUGACCCUUUGUUUAUUUGAGAUGUUUGCUUCUUUAAAUACUCAGCCAUCUGACUCUCUAAUUGUUUAGGAUUAGUCAUAAGUUAAGUAGGACAGGGAAGAUGUUAUAAAUAGUUUAUUGCAUAUCCAUUCAAGAAAUUUAGGCUAAGUUUAUAUAUUUUACCUUCUGAAAGGAGAAAGCCUGUGUGUUUAUUUAAAGCAUUGUAGAUUUUUUCUCAUUUAGAAUAUAUGAGUCUAGUAUAAAAAUUGAUUCUAGAUGAUUUAUAUGUAAGUUGCUCUUUUCUUCAUACUUAUUUUGCUACCUUUUUAUUUCAUGUUUUUUCUUAAGUAUGACUUUGAGCCUUUAAAAGUAUUUCCUUUAUGUCUCUUUUGAAUAUCAAAAACAACAUGAAUUAAAAAUAGAAGUCUACAUAUCAAGGAAACUUUGUAUAUAUAUUUCUUUGGAGUUAGGGGGUGAUUUCUAUCAUUACUCUGAGUUUAUUUUACUGAACAGUAUAUUUUUGAGAAAGUGGAUCAUACUAUGACCAAUAAGACUUGACUAUAAAAGUAAAAUAAUACCAAAAUAUAAUACUGAUAAACAUAUAGGUGUCUAAAGAAAAAUGUUGCAUAUUUCUACAGCAGGGCAAUUAACCAUAGGACUUCUAAGAGGCCUAUGUCACAUAGGGCCCACACAUUCCUCCAUCUGCCAAGCCUUUAAAUUUAGGCACCAGAGAUCACCUGCAAAAUGCAAGCAUGUUAUCGGGAGGGGCAAUACAAUAAUACCUACCAUCUGGUGUUGUUAGUUAUCAAGUCACUGGUCUGUCUCCUAAGCGUAGCUCUGAGAUAAGGGGAAAGAAGGAAGAGAUCUGAGGAGGCAAUGCUGUUCUGGCCCACCUGGGGGAGAACCAUGAAGUCCACCUCUGAGCAGCCAGCAUCCCAGGAGGGAAAAGGAAGCCAGAGGGACCAUGUGGGAGCCAGGGGGACCACACUGACUUCACAAGGUUGCUACGAGGCUGCAAUUACCCAUGUGGCAGAUCCACUUGGAGUAAGUAAUAUUUUCAGUGGAAAUUUAUGUAAGCUCUGUCCAGUGUUUCAUGGAGUUUCUGCAGGUAAAGGACUGUGUGAUAAUAUUUCCAGUAAACAACUUCUUUAGAAAUUCUGCAGCCCAGCAGCACCAAGCAUGAGUUUGAUGCAGGUAACUUGAGUGGACAGCACAUUCUGGGAAGACAGGUAUUGGGAGUUCUCUUUGGCAGGUGUGAGUGGCAUCUCAAGAGUGUUCCUGGAGUUCCCACUCUGAAUGGCUGCCUGUGCUGAAAGCAUUCUCACUGCAGCACGAGAGAGAAAUGCAGGAGUGUCUCAUCACGACUUGAGACUUGCAAAAGACGUCAAGAAUGAGAGUGGGUCAAAGAUAAGGAACAGUGCUCAGUUGGGGUCUAAAUGGUCUCAUCCAGUGCCCUUUGGAUGCUGCACACUGUGUUGGUGCCAAUCACUUAGGAUGAGUCUUUCCAGGUCAUUAUAAGCCUCACAGCCUUGGUGAAGUGUGUUGUCAGAUGGCUGAUAUUCAUGACCCCAAGUGGAGAAGGAGGCUGUAGUUUGCUAGCCUGCUCCAUCAGAUUCCCAAAGGAGUUACCCUAUAACCUCAGGGCAGUGCAUUUAUAUCGACAUCUUACUGAAGGAUUGGCUCUUGGGCAGAUAAUUGUUCUUACUUUCUCUUUCUGCUCAACAAAAAGCGUAAUGUGAUGGAAGAGAAAAUGACUUAGUGUGGUGAGGCCAUGAAUUUAAUCUCAUUCUAACAAUUUAAAACUUAUGUCAUUCAGGACAAUUAAUUUAGUCCCAUUGAAUCCCAUUUUUGAAGUGCAGAUGAUCAUAAUAAUUGCUUCAGAGGGCUGUUGAGAAGAUAAAAUAAGGUCAGGAGUGAAAAUUUGACAUUUAUCAAAAUGUUUGUGAGGUUCCUAGUGGCAUGAACUGGCUCCUGAUCAGACAGUCAGCUUGAAUAUAUACCAGACUUUCUGAAGGGAAAAGUUCCAGGGUUCCUCCUGAGUAGACUCAGGUUUGGGAGCACUUUCUAUGAGUUUUAGAUAUAAAAGAAACCUUAGAAAUAAUCUUGUAUAGCCACCUUUUAAAAAAAUUGUAUUUAGAAUUUAAUUUUAUGAAAGAAACGUCUGUAUAUACUUUUAAAAUCAAAUAUUUAUAAUGAAAAGUAGCAAUUUCCUACCCCACUGUGUCUCAAAUUCCAUUCCCUAGAAGCUAAUAUCCUGAUAAAUUCAAGGAAUUCAAUGUUAUAUGUUGUCUAGUAUGUACUGCUCUAAUAUAUGAGUAUUUAGUUUAUUACACUCCCCAUUUCUCUACCCAUCCUCCCAAUAUAGUCUUAUCACUACAUUUAGUUUCUCCAUGGGAUAACUUUGUAACUGUAAAACGUAUACAAUUUUAUUUCUACAUUUGUCAUUGGGCUGUAAUCCUUGAUUCCACAUUUUGAUGAAUCCUUGAUUUUCACAACUUUGAAAGAUGAGUCCAUCCAACUUUUCCUUCACCCCUGUGCAUUACUUCUCACUUCCCAGUCUUUAUCAUUUGAAUUUUUAUCUCUCUGUUGUUAAAAGUUGAUGACAUUUACAUUUUAUUUAUGAGCACAAUUGUGUCUCAUGCCUUGUUUAUAGGUUGUGUAUAAAAGCUUAAAAUCAAUUAACAGUGUUUAGCUAAGUAAAUGUGGUUUACUGUAGAAUCAAGUGGAAUACAUUGAUUAGUUUCCUGUUUUGUACAGCAUUUUGUUUUUCCAAGAGUUUCUAAUUGCCUUUAUUUUUCUUCAUAGCAAUUUUGCCUUAUCUUUUACUUAUUUCAAAAUGUUAAAAUUAUAUUAGCUAUUCUUUAUUUUAUUAUUAUUAUACUUUAAGUUUUAGGGUACAUGUGCAGUCUAAGAGCUUGACCUUGAAACUGUUAAGAUCAGUAACUCUCCAUUCCACAGGGACUCUCUACUCUCCCCCCAGAAACUCUGUUCUUCCCUUCUGAUCAACACUGGUUGACAUCUAGACUGGGGUUUAUAUUUUUUAUCUUGAGAUUUGCCUUUUUUGCUUUUCUAGGUUGAAUCUCCUGUUUCCUGGACCCCAAGUCUUCUGUUUUCUUGAUUUACUUGCUGGGCUGAGGCACACCCUUAAGUAAUUCCCUAACAACAGGGUUGCUCCUAGAUGUGUGGGGCCUCAGAUAAAUAUUUUUUUGUGGGACCUUUUUCUAAAUAAAUAAUUUGACUAAGAAAGUAUUACAAAAUUCAUGGACCCACGUGGGGUAUAGUGUUUUAUUGAAAGUCAUUCAGAAUAAUGGAUACAGAUGAGGUACUUACAUAUUCAUUACUUAAUCAGUGCAUGUGAAAAUUCUUUCUUCAUAAUGUCCAGGCACUAUCUCUGUGUUCUUGGCUAAUUCCAUAUCUCCAGUCAUGAAGAAAAGUAGCAAUACUGUCAUUACUCACAAUGCCAAGUUCUUGGGAACUUGUUUACAAUGAACAAUAUAGAUCUGUACUACUUUUGCAAUACAAUUUAUUGAAGUCUGGUUAUAUUGUUAUAGAUGAUGCUGCACCAUGAAUACUGGCUUUCAAUGACUUUCUCAAAAGUUGUUGCUGUGCUUCAUUGUUGAUGACCAAAAAUGCAAGUCUUAUCCAGAGUAUGCAAGAAAAUGUGAACAAUAAUUUGUUUUCUGAUUAUGUUGAAUUUACUGUUUAUAAUCUGAACAUAGAGCAUGUCUUCCAACUCUAUCUUCUCUUAAACUCUAUGCUGUAAUUACUACAUUCCUAGACAGUGAUUCUUUUCAUGUUAACUGCACUCCUGCCUUCCACUCACUGCCACCAGUGGAGAGGACUAAAUGAAUGAGAAGAGCAGCCUCAUUGGCACAAGGAACAUCUCUCAUCAGGAAUGGCUUCAACUGAUCCAGGAGUGCUUGAUAUCCCCACAUCUGUGGAGGCAGGGGAGGACAUCAAUUGGAAAAGCCCCUUGCUGUUUCAGAGCAAAGAUCUUGAAAGCACCAGGUAGAGAAAGAUGUAGCCAUUGUCAAAAGACUGCCUGUUAGAUGAAUGGGACAGUGGGAUGACCACCCUGGGUUCAGUGGUAAAGUCAAAUGGAGUAAAGGAUGCCUGUUGCCACCCCAGCUGCACUUGGGUGCUGAAGAUCAGAAGUGAAACUACAGAACAAAUCCAGAUGAGAGCUCACCUAGGGGCUCACACAUAUAGUUCAGGCCAAGGUUCAGUGAUGGACCAUCAUCAGUACUCAGAGCACUGAACUUGUCCUGGGUGUGAUGUAUUUGAGAGUCACUUAAAAUCAUCAUAUCGCUGCCAUUUUGGCCACCCAAUCUCAUAGGAUUCUGUGAAAUAAAUAUGGCACUGGGCAGCAGGAGCAAUUCACUUGUCAGGAAUCCCUCCUGGAAUCAGGGCUUGGCCAAGGACUUCAAGCCAACCACCCAAGGCAUGAAUCCCAGAACUCCUGGGGGCAUCUGGCAACUUCAUGUGCAGAAUAUAUCUUCUCUGACCUAGUGUGGCUGAUGAUGAGAGGUCUGAUGCUGGUUGAAGUUCUUGGUUUUCACAGGUAUCUUUUACAUUUCUAUCUUUCCUGCUAAACCUUCUCAGUAUCUUCUAUUAUGGAUGUAUUGAAGUUUUAUAGUGAUGGGUCUAGAUGUGUGUGUGUAUGUCUGCAUGUGUAUGCACAUAUGUGAGUUGUCAACUUGAGCACUUGGGUACUUGAUUGGCUUCUUAAUUUGGAUACUCAUGUCCUUUGACUCUGGGACAAUCCUUUGCGAUAAUUCUUUGAUUUCUUUCUUUUUGUUUUUCUCUUUUUGUCACUCCUAUUGAUCAGAUGUGGGGCCUCUUGGACUGAUCCUCAACACAUCUUACCUUUCUCAUUUUCUUACAUCUUCUUGCCUUUGUUCUACAACAUUGGUUUUAUUAUAUUUUACCUACUAUUAGAAUUUCGGGCUCAUAUAUUUAUUUUUCAAUAGUUUUUCCUUGUUAGCUAGUUGUACUUUGUUGAUGCAAUAUUUUUUUUUACUACUCUUUCUAAGAAUAUUUAUUAAAGAGUUUUUAAAGGUUAAAUUGUGUUUCCAAAUUAUUUCUCUUCUUUCCAACGUUGCAUAUGCUGCUUGUUAAUCUUGGUUUCUCUCUUUUGGGUUGUAGAUGUUCCUCAGAGAUCUUUGGGUGUUACAUCACAUUUAAGAGCCAGACAAU